rnacentral:rRNA from 1 species
AUUGAACGCUGGCGGCAUGCUUUACACAUGCAAGUCGAACGGUAACAGGUUAAGCUGACGAGUGGCGAACGGGUGAGUAAUGCAUCGGAACGUGCCCGAUCGUGGGGGAUAACACUUCGAAAGAAGUGCUAAUACCGCAUACGAUCUGAGGAUGAAAGCGGGGGACCGUAAGGCCUCGCGCGAUCGGAGCGGCCGAUGUCAGAUUAGGUAGUUGGUGGGGUAAAGGCUCACCAAGCCGACGAUCUGUAGCUGGUCUGAGAGGACGACCAGCCACACUGGGACUGAGACACUGCCCAGACUCCUACGGGAGGCAGCAGUGGGGAAUUUUGGACAAUGGGCGCAAGCCUGAUCCAGCAAUGCCGCGUGCAGGAAGAAGGCCUUCGGGUUGUAAACUGCUUUUGUACGGAGCGAAAAGGCUCCCUCUAAUACAGGGGGCUCAUGACGGUACCGUAAGAAUAAGCACCGGCUAACUACGUGCCAGCCGCCGCCGUAAGAC